rnacentral:rRNA from 1 species
CCUACGGGAGGCAGCAGUGAGGAAUAUUGGUCAAUGGGCGCGAGCCUGAACCAGCCAAGUAGCGUGAAGGAUGACUGCCCUACGGGUUGUAAACUUCUUUUAUACGGGAAUAAAGUGAGGCACGUGUGCCUUUUUGUAUGUACUUUAUGAAUAAGGACCGGCUAACUCCGUGCCAGCAGCCGCGGUAAUACGGAGGUUCCGGGCGUUAUCCGGAUUUAUUGGGUUUAAAGGGAGCGUAGAUGGGUUGUUAAGUCAGUUGUGAAAGUUUGAGGCUCAACCGUAAAAUUGCAGUUGAUACUGGCGGUCUUGAGUACAGUUGAGGUAGGCGGAAUUCGUGGUGUAGCGGUGAAAUGCUUAGAUAUCACGAAGAACUCCGAUUGCGAAGGCAGCUUACUAAACUGCCACUGACAUUGAUGCUCGAAAGUGUGGGUAUCAAACAGGAUUAGAUACCCUUGUAGUC